CAUUUCUGUAGCUCGGUCGAGAGGCGACAGCCACUAGACUGGAUAGGCCCAGGUCUACGGAAGCACAGUGGGAUUGGACAUUGGCGAAGGCUGAUCAGCAAUGCGCGUGUUGGAAGAAGCUUCGGUUUGUAAGCACUUGUCCCGAAGAAAUCUUGGUAAUACUCGGGGGGAUGACGGUACCGAAGAAUAAGCACCGGCUAACUACGUGCCAGCAGCGCGGUAUACGUAGGGUGCAAGCGUUAAUCGGAAUUACUGGGCGUAAAGCGUGCGCAGGCGGUUUUGUAAGACGGAUGGUGAAAUCCCCGGGCUCAACCUGGGAACUGCAUUCGUGACUGCAAGGCUAGAGUAUGGCAGAGGGGGUAGAAUUCCACGUGUAGCAGUGAAAUGCGUAGAGAUGUGGAGGAAUACCGAUGGCGAAGGCAGCCCCCUGGGCCAAUACUGACGCUCAUGCACGAAAGCGUGGGGAGCAAACAGGAUUAGAUACCCUGGUAGUCCACGCCCUAAACGAUGUCAACUAGUUGUUGGGGAUUCAUUUCCUUAGUAACGUAGCUAACGCGUGAAGUUGACCGCCUGGGGAGUACGGUCGCAAGAUUAAAACUCAAAGGAAUUGACGGGGACCCGCACAAGCGGUGGAUGAUGUGGAUUAAUUCGAUGCAACGCGAAAAACCUUACCUACCCUUGACAUGUACGGAAGUCUGCUGAGAGGCGGAUGUGCUCGAAAGAGAACCGUAACACAGGUGCUGCAUGGCUGUCGUCAGCUCGUGUCGUGAGAUGUUGGGUUAAGUCCCGCAACGAGCGCAACCCUUGUCCUUAGUUGCUACGCAAGAGCACUCUAAGGAGACUGCCGGUGACAAACCGGAGGAAGGUGGGGAUGACGUCAAGUCCUCAUGGCCCUUAUGGGUAGGGCUUCACACGUCAUACAAUGGUCGGUACAGAGGGCUGCCAAACCGCGAGGUGGAGCUAACCCCAGAAAACCGAUCGUAGUCCGGAUCGCAGUCUGCAACUCGACUGCGUGAAGCUGGAAUCGCUAGUAAUCGCGGAUCAGCAUGUCGCGGUGAAUACGUUCCCGGGUCUUGUACACACCGCCCGUCACACCAUGGGAGUGGGUUUUGCCAGAAGUAGGUAGCCUAACCGUAAGGAGGGCGCUUACCACGGCAGGAUUCAUGACUGGGGUGAAGUCGUAACAAGGUAACCA
rnacentral:rRNA from 1 species